rnacentral:misc_RNA from 1 species
UUCUCCUUACUAGUAUUCAUUACAGAAUGCAACCAUACAAAAAUAAAUGAAAUUAUGUGUAGGAAAAAAUCAACGAAAAAAUAGUUAAUUACACUAAAAUAAAAAAAAAGUUUUUUAAAGACUAAUGUAAAUAUAUAAAAUAUAAAAAAUUGAUUUCCAAUUAUCCAUUUAGAAAAUUUUUACAAUAGAAAAAAAAAAACUUUAUUUUCUAAUUUUCUUCGAAUCAUUUUCUGGAAAAUAUGUGUACUUUUCCAUUAUCAAACAUAACCUGAAGUGGUCAAUUAUGUACUUCUAAAAAUAGUAUUUUUAGUUAAUUUAGCAUACUGAUACAGGUUUAAAUUUUUGGAUUUCUUUUUUGUUUUUCUUUGUCCCUGGCGGUGGCGGAUCCAAGUAUAGAAAUGAGGGGUCAAUUAAAUCAUCUUUUCAUAAAAGUUAAAAUUAAAUUGCUUAUUUAUGUAGCUUGUUUGAAUUUGACUAGUUUGUUAUCUUUUUUUGACUUGAAAAGGUUGAUUAGAUUGACCCAAUUUUAUCCUGUAGAGCUUUUCAAAUGUUUAACUUUUAAUACUUAAAAAACAAAUAAACUAUAUUUUUAAUAUGUGUAUUUUUAAUAUGUUGACCUCAGAAAAAUUUCUGGAUCUGCCACUGGCGACUGGGCGAUGUCCUGCCCCCCAAACAACAUAGUUCUACCUUAGCUUUGGUGCAUCCUUUCUGCGAUUUCUCUUAUGGAUACAAUAACACUUUACUGUCAUAUUCAAGGGAAACAUUUUAGUUAUGUGUAUGUUCCAGACCUACAUAUUUGUUGGUCAUUUCACAGUCCAGUAUCCAUGAAUCUUAAGCUGCCAUCCUCAUAUUUCUAAUCCCACUUAAAUCAUCAAUGCCUUCAAAGUUUAUUUCUGAAUCACGCAUUUGUUUUCCUGAACGUUUAGAAGUCCUGAUUUUAGAUGGAUGAUAGCAUUUGGAAGUGAUUGAAUUUGGUUUGUUUUUAAAAUAAUAUUUGCUUCUCAGAUGAACUAAUGCUUUUUAAUUCUUGCUGCUUUUUUGUUUCUUGAGCAUUCAUCAAUUGAAGUUUGAUUUAAGAGUACUGAGUUCUGAAUUUUUGCAUCUGCUGUAUAUUCUAUUUUCUAUUUAUUAUUAUUUUUUUUCCUUCCAUGCUUUAUUGUUCCAGAUCUUUUGGGAUGAUCA